rnacentral:rRNA from 1 species
AAUUUUAACAGAUCCUUUCGGGGAGAAGAUAAGAUGGAUUAGCGGCGGACGGGUGAGUAACACGUGAGUAACCUGCCUUUGACACAGGGAUAGCCUCGGGAAACCGGGAUUAAUACCAGAUAACAUUAUCAGAUCGCAUGAGAAGAUAAUCAAAGCUGAGGCGGUCAAAGAUGGACUCGCGUCCCAUUAGCUAGUUGGUAGAGUAAUAGCCUACCAAGGCAACGAUGGGUAGCCGGCCUGAGAGGGAGAACGGCCACAUUGGAACUGAGAAACGGUCCAAACUCCUACGGGAGGCAGCAGUGGGGAAUAUUGCACAAUGGGGGAAACCCUGAUGCAGCGACGCCGCGUGAGCGAAGAAGGUUUUCGAAUCGUAAAGCUCUGUCCUAUGGGAAGAUAAUGACGGUACC